rnacentral:rRNA from 1 species
UGGGGAAUAUUGCACAAUGGGGGAAACCCUGAUGCAGCGACGCCGCGUGAACGAAGAAGGUAUUCGUAUCGUAAAGUUCUGUCCUAUGGGAAGAUAAUGACAGUACCAUAAGAAAAAGCCCCGGCUAACUACGUGCCAGCAGCCGCGGUAAUACGUAGGGGGCUAGCGUUGUCCGAAAUCACUGGGCGUAAAGGGUUCGCAGGCGGAAAUGCAAGUCAGGUGUAAAAGGCAGUAGCUUAACUACUGUAAGCAUUUGAAACUGCAUAUCUUGAGAAGAGUAGAGGUAAGUGGAAUUUUUAGUGUAGCGGUGAAAUGCGUAGAUAUUAAAAAGAAUACCGGUGGCGAAGGCGACUUACUGGGCUCAUUCUGACGCUGAGGAACGAAAGCGUGGGUAGCAAACAGG